rnacentral:rRNA from 1 species
GCACCUUCCGAUACGGCUACCUUGUUACGACUUUACCCCAGUCAUGAACCCUGCCGUGGCAGUCGCCCUCCUUGCGGUUAGGCUAACGGCUUCUGGCAAAACCCACUCCCAUGGUAUGACGGGCGGUGUGUACAAGACCCGGGAACGUAUUCACCGCGACAUUCUGAUCCGCGAUUACUAGCGAUUCCAGCUUCACGUAGUCGAGUUGCAGACUACGAUCCGGACUACGAUGCAUUUUCUGAGAUUAGCUCCCCCUCGCGGGUUGGCAACCCUCUGUAUGCACCAUUGUAUGACGUGUGAAGCCCUACCCAUAAGGGCCAUGAGGACUUGACGUCAUCCCCACCUUCCUCCGGUUUGUCACCGGCAGUCUCUUUAGAGUGCUCUUGCGUAGCAACUAAAGACAAGGGUUGCGCUCGUUGCGGGACUUAACCCAACAUCUCACGACACGAGCUGACGACAGCCAUGCAGCACCUGUGUUCACUUUCCCUUACGGGCACCUAAUGUAUCUCUACUUCGUUAGUGACAUGUCAAGGGUAGGUAAGGUUUUUCGCGUUGCAUCGAAUUAAUCCACAUCAUCCACCGCUUGUGCGGGUCCCCGUCAAUUCCUUUGAGUUUUAAUCUUGCGGCCGUACUCCCCAGGCGGCUGACUUCACGCGUUAGCUACGUUACUCAGGAUGAAAAUCC